GAGGAAUUAGCUCAAACUGUAGAAUGCUUGCUUAGCAUGCAAGAGGCAGCAGGAUCAAUGCCUGCAUUCUCCA
rnacentral:tRNA from 1 species